GAUCCUGGCUCAGGAUGAACGCUAGCGACAGGCUUAACACAUGCAAGUCGAGGGGCAUCAUGAGGUAGCAAUACCUUGAUGGCGACCGGCGCACGGGUGAGUAACGCGUAUGCAACCUGCCUGAUACCGGGGUAUAGCCCAUGGAAACGUGGAUUAACACCCCAUAGUACUUUUAUCCUGCAUGGGAUAGGAGUUAAAUGUUCAAGGUAUCGGAUGGGGCAUGCGUCCUAUUAG
rnacentral:rRNA from 1 species